GUUGCCAACAAAUUAAUUAAACUUGCAUAUCAACUAAAGAAGUCUGUCGAGGAAAGUAGAGCGCAGUGGCAGAGGGAAGUGUCCACUCUAGAAGAAGCUCUGCGAAAGAAAAGGAAAAUACUAUAUUAAACAGUCGAGUCGACACUCAGCGGUAAAAAUAAUCUCAAUUUCAAUGCUGUUAUUAAGGUCAGGUAACUGCUACCCAAAUGACAAGGAGGUAGAAUAAUGCUGUGUCCACACUACUCUCCAGGGAAAUCAAGACCAGAAAACUCCAAAAAUUUCAAUCACAGUUGAAAAUCUGAGCUAUAAUGAGUAUCAGUACCAAACUGAGGGGAGAGAAAAAUACCAAAAGCAUUAAUUAAAGCUUUAUUAGGGAGAAUCAUUCAUUAGAAAAGUUCGUAACGGUUUGUGAGAUUAAUUGCUUACUUAGAUUAAGUUAUCCUAAAUCUCUUCUUCUGAGCAAUCAUGAUUGCCGGCCACCAAGAAAUACUGAUAGAGUGUGCAGGAAAUUCAAAGAAAUGUGUUUUAAUGUAGGCAAAUUGCUUGCUAAGGAGUGGAUUUCACACUUUUUAAAUGUGCCAAUUGAGGUCUGCAAAGGGUUUUACAUGUAGACAGUCUAUUUAUGCUGCUGUGUCUCUUAUGUGCAACAAACCCAUCAUGAGUCCUGAACAUAGCAGAUCAAGGUGAUUUGAGGGCGAGAGAACCAUAAGUCAGAAUGACCUGCCAUUGCGAUUAUAUCGCAUAGAUUAGCUCCAAGGUCUCAGUCAGCUGCUGUUUUAAUUAAAUUUUGAGAUCGCAUUUCUAGUGGGACGAACAACUCAAGGUUGAGGUUAUUGGCAUUCAGAUUUUUUUUUCUUGCAGAAAGCUGAAGGUUUGGAAAUGUACAACUUAGAUAAAACCCUUUUUUCCCUCUUUUUUUCAGAGUUGUCGACGAUUCUUCAGUCCAUUUUGUAAAUUCAUUGAAUUCUGUUAGUCUCCAGCCAACUGCAGAUAACAAUGAACAGAAGAAGUGUGCCAACUGUGAUAGGGAAGCGUAUGCUGAGUGUUCCUUGUGUCGCCGAACGCCAUACUGUUCGAUAUUCUGUCAGCGGAAAGACUGGGCUGUCCACCAGGUGGAAUGUGUUCGAUCGGAUCCAAACAGUAUUAUGCUGAUCGUUGAAACUGCUGAUGGCGUUGUCAACUGAUUGUACACGGCUGAAUGAUUUAUAUAUACCAAAUUAGAAAUAUGAAGGUUCAAUUAGACGCAUGUGCUAAAACAGUCUAUUGACUUUGGAUCUCUAUAACAGACAGGUAUCUGUAACAUAGGUUUGUCCAAUUUUGCCUUCGUUUUGUAAAAAGUUUUGUUUUUGUUCCGCCAAAAUUUGUCAAUUGCGGCUUAUAAGUUAAUAAUAAAAUUAAUUAUAUUUUUCAUUAGUGAUCUUUAUUAACCUCAAUUAUAACAUUUUCUUUCCCUCCUCUUUGAUACAGACGAGUGUCUCUGUCACUAAACGAAGCAAAAAUGACUUUAGGAUGCAUCAGCUUCAAUUUUUUACAAUGGGUCAAAGUAACACUACCCUCAAUUUUUCCAUAGAAUAUUCAAGUUCAAACCUA
rnacentral:lncRNA from 1 species